GACGAACGUUGGCGGCGUGCUUAACACAUGCAAGUCGAGCGAUGAAGUUUCUUCGGAAAUGGAUUAGCGGCGAACGGGUGAGGAACACGUGAAGAAUCUGCCUCCACUUUGGGAUAACACCGGGAAACCGGUGCUAAUACCGAAUAUUGAAACAUAAGUGGCAUCACUGAGUUUUGAAAGAAUUUCGGUGGAGGAUGACUUCGCGGCCUAUCAGCUAGUUGGUGAGGUAAUGGCUCACCAAGGCAACGACGGGUAGCCGGCCUGAGAGGGCGACCGGCCACACUGGGACUGAGACACGGCCCAGACUCCUACGGGAGGCAGCAGUGGGGAAUAUUGGGCAAUGGAGGAAACUCUGACCCAGCGACGCCGCGUGCGGGAUGAAGGCCUUCGGGUUGUAAACCGCUUUCAGUAGGGAAGAAGCGAAAGUGACGGUACCUACAAAAGAAGCACCGGCUAACUAUGUGCC
rnacentral:rRNA from 1 species